rnacentral:rRNA from 1 species
AGCGCAGGCGGGAAACUAAGCGGAUCUUAAAAGUGCGGGGCUCAACCCCGUGAUGGGGUCCGAACUGGUCUUCUUGAGUGCAGGAGAGGAAAGCGGAAUUCCCAGUGUAGCGGUGAAAUGCGUAGAUAUUGGGAAGAACACCAGUGGCGAAGGCGGCUUUCUGGACUGUAACUGGCGCUGAGGCUCGAAAGCUAGGGUAGCGAAG